rnacentral:rRNA from 1 species
UACGUAGGGCGCAAGCGUUAUCCGGAAUUAUUGGGCGUAAAGAGCUCGUAGGCGGUUUGUCGCGUCGGGAGUGAAAACACGGGGCUUAACCCCGUGCCUGCUUCCGAUACGGGCAGACUAGAGGUAUGCAGGGGAGAACGGAAUUCCUGGUGUAGCGGUGAAAUGCGCAGAUAUCAGGAGGAACACCUGCGGCGAAGGCGGGUUGCUGGGCUGACACUGACGCUGAGGCGCGAAAGCCGGGGGAGCGAACGGG